UACGGAGGGAGCUAGCGUUGUUCGGAAUUACUGGGCGUAAAGGGCGCGUAGGCGGCACUGUUAGUCAGGCGUGAAAGUCCUGGGCUCAACCUGGGAACUGCGCUUGAUACGGCAGAGCUAGAGGAUGGAAGAGGCUCGCGGAAUUCCCAGUGUAGAGGUGAAAUUCGUAGAUAUUGGGAAGAACACCGGUGGCGAAGGCGGCGAGCUGGUCCAUUACUGACGCUGAGGCGCGACAGCGUGGGGAGCAAACAGG
rnacentral:rRNA from 1 species